UUUUUUUUUUUUUUUGACCUUCCAAAUACCUUGCCAGUACCUUUUAACCUUGUAAAAGUUAAGCUAGAAUGGGAUGAUAAAGAAGUCUAGGAAAUGUGGAUUUUAGCCUUCUACUUGCUAUGAGACAGAAAAUGGCCUAAUAUAUGGUAAGAUGCUAACAGAUAAUCUAAUGUAGGCAGUAUUUAAUGUGAUAAAGGACAAAAGUAUAGUGCAAGUAAAAAAGAAAACCUAAUGAACAGUUACAAAAUGUUUGUCCAAUAAAUAAAUGAAUAUGUUCAAUGUAGAUUGAAAUUACUAGAGCAGACAUUAUUGAAAAAACUGAAUCAGAUAGGAGUCUUGAAAUGUGUGAAGAUUUUCAUUUUAAAAAAGUCAAGUAGACAGCUCCAUGUAUCAGUUGACUUUUGGUGUGUAACAAAACACUCCAACUUCGGGGCAUUAAGCAGCAUCUUUAAGUUAUCUCACAAUUCUCUGAGUCAAUGAUUUACUCUGGGCUCUGUUGAGAAGCUCUUCUGAUCUCCUCUGAGUUCGCUCAUGCAAUUGUGGUCAACUGCUAGAUUGCCUGAGGGCUAGUUUAUCUAAGAUGCCUUCAGCUGGAAUGGUUCAGUUCUGUUAUAUGUGGUCUCUUCUUCUCCAGUCCACCAGACUUAUCUGAUUAUCCUGGCACUUGUCUGGUUUCCAGGAGAGAGAGUGGAAACACACAACAUCUUUUGGUGAGUGGGUUAUGGAAGUCACAGCAUGUCAAUUCUACGGCAACCUAUUGGUCAAAACAGGUGACAACUCUAGUUGUCCAGAUUCAAGAAUUAGAGAAACAGAGCCAAAUUUUAAAGGCUGUGGAUGCAGAAAGCCUGAAGAAUCAUGAGCAUUGUUUUUAUUGCAUACUAUACUAUCUUCUGAUAAUUAAUUCAGCCAAUAUUGUUAAGCUACAUGGACAGGAGUGUUGUUUGUAGGAUGGAGGAUUAGGGAAUGUUGAAGAUUAGUUACGUGAACAUAGUUUAAUUCUGCAGUGUUAGGUAGUAUUCGGUUUAUAGACUCUUUUACUCUGAAUAUUAGAUGUAAAUGAAAGCAAAUAUCUUACUCAAUGGCUUUGGUUUUUUUAAAAUUUUUUUUAUUUCCAUAGGUUAUUGGGAAACAGGUGGUAUUUGGUUACAUGAGUAAGUUCUUUUGUGGUGAUUUGUGAGAUUUUGGUGCACCCAUCACCAGAGCAGUAUACACAGCACCAUAUUUGUCGUCUUUUAUCCCUCAUCCCCUUCCCACACUUUCCUCCUGAGUCCCCAAAGUCCAUUAUGUUCUUCUUAUGCUCAAUGGCUUUGUUUUUAGGUGACAAACAUUUGACCCCGAAAUGUUUUUGUUUGUUUGUUUGUUUGUUUGUUUGUUUUGAGAGGCAGUCUAGCCCUGUUGCCCCCGCUGGAGUGCAAUGGUGUGAUCUUGGCUCACUGCAACCUCUGCCUCCCAGGUUCAAAUGAUUCUCCUGCCUCAGCCUCCCGAGUAGCUGGAAUUGCAGGCGCCCACCACCACACCCAGAUAAUUUUUGUAUCUUUAGUAGAGACAGGUUUUCACCAUGUUGGCCAGGCUGGUCUCGGACUCCUGACCUCGUGAUCCACCCGGCUUGGCCUCCCCAAGUGCUGGAAAUACAGGCAUAAGCCACCACGCCGGGCUGACCUGGAAGUGUUAAGUAAAUUUCUCAAGGUCGUACAUCCAUCGGGUGUAUUCAAAUGGGACUGAAAUCCUACACACGUCUGUUAAUCUGAGACUGUAAAUGUCAAGAAAAAAAAAUCAUUUUUAUUUUUCUGGAGUACAAUGUAAAUGUAUAAAACCUACAGGUAGGGGUCUAUUUGUGUUUGUGUGCUUUCAGUACAUGCAGACACACGCACUCUACACACACACAUACACACAAUAGGAAAAGGAGAUAUAAAAGUACCACUCUGCAUAGGCCUAUUGCCCAAUUUUAAUUUGGCUCUCCUCCUAAUUUCUUUUAUACCUGGAGCAGAAGUUAUUCCCAGAGCUAAUUCAUACAUACACUCUUUAGCACAUGCCAUCUGCUUCUGAAACCUGUGGCUGCACACAACACGUGUCCUGUAAGGUAAGUAGUUUCUGAUCUCAAUCUAGAAUUAAUGUAGUUCCUGCUUUUCUUUAGGAAAAAUAUAGAAAUAAGUAACAGUAAUCCUUUUAUACAGCCAUCUCCUCCUGCUUAGGAAAGACCCUCACAAGCGUACACAAGAUGUACCCUCACAAUAGUCUCAUUGAUGUAUUCUCCAGAGUGCUUAUUGAUUUGCACUGAAGAUAUUGAAUCUCCAAUUAAAAGAAAAAAGUCCAAAUUAGGGGAAAGACCUGUGAAAUUAUUUUAAAUAAUAUUAUAAACUAGUAAUAGUUUGUAUAGUGUAAGGUUACUAAGUAAAGCAGCCAUGGCUUUUAAUUCCAUUUUCUGGAUUUUUAAAAUGUUGCAAUCUUAGAUAAUUCAACAUGUGUGAGCUCCAGUUUCCUCAUCUUCAAAAAGAAGUGGGUGGGCAAUAACAACAGUUAUGCAUCAUCUGAAUAUUGUAAUCAUCCCUAGCGAUAGAUGCAUGUGAAACAUUAAAUUCAGUGCAUGGUACAAAGUAGAUAUUCGAAUGUUAGCCAAGUAUAUCAUUAUAUUAUUAAACUGAAAAAGUCAAUAAAAUGAUAUAAUUAAACAACCAUAGUUGCUGUAAUUCACAAAUUAAUUGUUGAGAGCAAAUAGGGGUGGAUUCUGGAUAGCAGAGACAACAAAAUCAAUGUAUGGAUUAACGUGAGUAAAACAGCUUCCUAUCAUUGUGCUAGGUUUUGUGCCAGAAGCUUCACAUGCGUUGUUUUUACUGAGUCCUCUUUAAUAAUCCCAUUUCACAGAUAGGAAAACCGAGACUCAGAGAAGUUAGAUAAAUAGGCUAUGGUCUUAGGGUUAAGAAGUAGGACAGCUGGGAUUUAGCCUUUGAUUUUAAAGAUGAUUGUAGAUUUAUCAUUUGUUUUUAUUUACCCACAUUACUUUCUGUGUCAUUCUGUCAUGUUUAACCUAGAUAGAACACAGCCCUGGGUCUGGACUUCCACACUUUUGCUCCAAUAAGUGUUCAGUUAUAUAAUGUCCAAUAAAAACAUUUUUUGAGUUCCUUGUAUAAAUUGACAAGGUCAAUAAACUUGAGUUGCAAUUUUUUCUCCUGAGACGCAGACCAGAUAGGAAAACCAGAGCUCAGACAAUUCUGAGAGUUAAGUAGUAAUGAAAAAUAUCAGGGAGGUUCUGGAGACAAGGGGAAUGAUCUUGGGGUCUGAAGCCUAGAGAUCACAUUUCUCGGUGCUAGUUCAUGAGUGCUAGGAAAAGCCACAGCAAGUAGAAUGUCCCAGCACUAUGAACAAAUGACAUUACAAUGUACAGAGGAUGAGAUUGGAAGGCCAUACAUGCUGCUCUCUGGAAUUCUUACUCUAAGAAGCCUUGCCUGUUUUACAUUGUCGUAGGAGGUACAAAAGAAAUAAUUGAUUGCUUCAAUGUAUUUUCUCUCGGGGGCAUUUUUGCCAUUUCAGCUUCAAGACUAAUCAAUCGACGAAGCCAUGGCUGUGACAAACCUAAACUUCACAUGUCUUAACAGAUCUGCAUACAUAAUGCUUCGAAGGAAAAUAAAGAAAACCAACAAAGACAAUAAGCUGCUCCUUCUUCAUUUAGCCCAUCUCACUGUUGACUUCUCCAGAGAAGACGCUGUAACAGAGUUUGAAGAACAAGAUCUUUCUUGGAAAUCAACACCUGUGAAAGCAAGAGGGUAUAAGCAGAAUUGUGCAGAGGAAGAAGGUAAACCCCAAUGUAGGCCCAACUGUGCAUCUACUGAUGUGGCAAAGAGCAAAGUGAAUGUUGCUUAUCAGACUUUCUACAUUGGACCUGCAUGGUCAGGAAAUUACAUCCCUGCCUGGGUGAGUCACUGUAUGUAGUAUCCCCAGGAAGGGCAUGACCUCAUCAAAGUAGAUUUCUGCAGUUGAGACAGACCCUGAAGAUGUCAGAUGGAGGCUGUUUACUGACAAUACUCCUUGUAAUAGAACAGCUACCCCUUCCUUGUUUCCUUUGACUCUCAAACAAAAAAGACCCAUGCAGCUCUUUGGAUAGAAAUAAAUAUAUAGAUAUUUGGGUGCUGCCUAA